rnacentral:rRNA from 1 species
CCUACGGGAGGCAGCAGUGGGGGAUCUUGCACAAUGGGGGCAACCCUGAUGCAGCAACGCCGCGUGAGCGAAGAAGGUUUUCGGAUUGUAAAGUUCUGUCCUUAUCGAAGAUAAGGUGUAGAUACAAGAAUAAUAUACUAGGACUAUAGAUGAGGAGGAAGCCGCGGCUAAAUACGUGGCAGCAGCCGCGGUAAUACGUAGGGGGCGAGCGUUGUCCGGAAUCACUGGGUGUAAAGGGGGCGUAGGCGGUGAUGUAAGUCAGGUGUGAAAGGUGGGGGCUCAACCCGUGGAGUGCAACGGAUACUGUGUAACUGGAGUGUGGGAGAGGGAGGCGGAAUUCCUAGUGUAGCGGUGAAAUGCGUAGAUAUUAGGAGGAACACCAGUGGCGAAGGCGGCUUUCUGG